rnacentral:lncRNA from 1 species
CGAGUGACCGGUGAAAAAUAAUGUUCUUCCAAUUCUUGAACCAAUGCAUACAAACAUCAUAAACUUAGUCUUCUGUGCACGAAUUUAUCAUUUUUUUUCGUGUAAAUUUCGUAUAAUUGUCAUUUUUUUUUUCAAUCGGUCAGUGUUAUUGUGAAAAUAUGGCAGGUAAUUAAAGUUCGUGUUUUGAAGCCGAAGUUUAACGAUUGUCACCUGUUUGUCAACAAUCGACAAAAAAUCAACAAAAAAGCAUGGAAAUUGAGCACUUGUUUAACAUGUAAAUUC